GAUGAAGAACGCAGCGAAAUGCGAUAAGUAAUGUGAAUUGCAGAAUUCAGUGAAUCAUCGAAUCUUUGAACGCACCUUGCGCCCUUUGGACUUCUGAAGGGCAUGUCUGUUUGAGUAUCAUGAACACCUCAACUCCUUAUGGUCUUCCAUGAUGAGCUUGGACUUUGGGGGUUUUGCUGGCCUACAGUCAGCUCCUCUAAAAUAAAUCAGCUUACCGGUGUUUGGUGGGUAUCAUGGGUGUGAUAACUAUCUACGCUCGUGGUUUUCCACCAGGUAACCUUCAGCAGUGGAGGUUCACUGGAGCUCAUAGAUGUCUCUCCUCAGCGAGGACAGCCCUUUGAAUGUUUGAUCUCAAAUCAGGUAGGACUACCCGCUGAACUUAAGCAUAUCAAUAAGCGGAGGA
rnacentral:misc_RNA from 1 species